GUCCUGGUAUGCCUGGGGCUUCCCGGGUUUUAGCACUGAAAGGCCCACGUCCCGGACGAACCGGGACAGUUGGUCCCCCUCCGUGAGCAAACUUGCUCCUCCGCCCGGAGGGGAGAAGGCGGGGCCGAUGGGCCCCACCCCAGCGCGCAGGGCCUUCAGCCAUUGACCGAGAGCGGGACAGAGCACCCGGGCGAGCUCUGCCGGGCAACCCGAGCCCGAUUCUCAGCCGCUGCCCAGAGCCUCUCAGCCUCAGGCCCCUCCCUGGCACUGCCUUUCCCAGACCCGCUUCUUCCUGGAAAAUCAAGGCCAAGGCUGCCAUCUUGAGUCAGAGGAUCCACUGGGUGGGAAGCACCUGCCACCUGCACCCAGGGCUUCUCUCCGGAUGCAGGGCUUCCCCCAGGGAGGAAAAAAAGGAAAGAAAGAAGGAGGGAAGGAGAUUGAGCUGAGCUGGAGAGUGUGCCUGGCAAAACCUGAGCCCCAAGCAUUUCUGCCCUGAUUGGAUCCUUGUCACUAACCAAGCUUAUUCCAAGCUUGGGACCUUUACACCGUCCUCUGCCUGGAAUCCCCAAGAUGGAUGCACAGCUGGCUCCUUCCAAUCAUCGUUCCAGUCUCACUUCAUGCGUCACCUCAGGGAGGUGACCUGAUCACCAUCAUUGUAGGUCCUUCUGGUUGUGCUAUGCAGGACGCUGCCCCAGCAUGGCUUGAUGAGCGGUGCCAUGUCCCCGCCCAGGAUCUGAACCGGCAAAACCCUGGGCCGCUGAAGCAGAGUGCGUGAACUUAACCACUCGGCCACGGGGCCGGCCCUCAGCACUUUCUUUUUAAAACUCCUAGAAUCCAACUAAUGAAAACUAAUUUGCUGAAAAAUCAAUGUGCUGAAUUCUUAACGAUUUGGGGAAAAUUUGAGUUUCACUCUAGUCCUGGGUGGUACCAGACAAACACCUUCAACCAAGUCUAGGUCAAUUCACUGCAGCUGUCCUGCAGCCAGAGGCAGCAGCAUGGAUGAUAGCAAAGCAAAAUCUUGGGGGGGAAAUCCCUAGGCAUGGGUUGACUUGGUCACUUAGCAAUUGGGUAUACAGGGGAGGAUCCCAGGCAGUGGGGUGGCCUCUUUCCAUGGGGCCCAGGGCCAAGCUGGGGGUGGGAUUAGAAGCGAAGAUGAGGGGUAGCAAGGUCCAUCUCAAAGUGGAGCUUUUCCAACAUACUGAGAGCCAUGAGCUGAGCCACACCCCAAGAAGAUGCUCUGGUAAAUCUGCAUGAUCUUGGCUUGACACUGGAAUCUUAGGUAUGACACCUAAAGUACAGACAACAAAAGAAAAAAUAGAUCAAUUGGAUUUCAUCAAAAUUAAAACUUUUUUGUAUCAAAGGACGUUAUCAAGAAAGUGAAAAGACAAACUACAGAAUAGGAGAAAGUAUUUGUAAAUCAUAUAUCUGAUAUACAUCCAGAAUAUAUAAAGAACUCUUAUGAAAGACAAACAUCAUAUGAUUUCACUCAUAUGUGGAAGAUAAACAAACACACAGAUAAGGAGAACAGAUUAGUGGUUACCAGAGGUGAAGGGGGUUACUGGAGAGGAAGGGAGGGUGAAAGGGGUAAAGAGGCAUGUGUGUGUGGUGACAGAUAAAAACUAGACUAUUGGUGGUGAGCACGAUACAGUCUAUACAGAAACUGAAAUAUAAUAAUGUACACCUGAAAUU
rnacentral:lncRNA from 1 species